UGCCCUGAAGAAAUGGUUAAGCCGGCGUUUAUUUACAGUAAAUGUAGACUUGAUGGAUAUAAAUAUAAAAAUCAUUUUGUUGAGUAACUGAACGAGUAAGGAAACGUGAGACAGAUAGGAAGGAGCAGAUGUACAACAGGGUUAUGUUCUGACAAGGGUGAAGCAGGCAUUAGUGCUGUGGAUGAAGACGAACGUUUACCUUCCCCAAGCGGCUUAGGCCCAACAGCGAAUGCCGCAGAAAAGGCAACACAAAGAAAUACAGGU